rnacentral:rRNA from 1 species
CCAUUCUUCAUACGUAUGAAUAGCGUCUUAACUAUCUUUUACCGCUACCUAUUUGUAGUAAGCGCUCAUACUAUUGGGACCGGAAUGCAACGAGCGCGACUGCACCACCUAAUUGCCCCUUAUCUACCAUUAAUUACUUUAUUAACCGCCCUGUACGGGCACCGGGGCCUUACCUUUACUGAAACUAGCUGGACCGCUGCUUUCCUUUAAGCCAGAGGAAGGUUGCGGCAAUAACAGGUCUGUGAUGCCCUCAGAUGUUCCGGGCCGCACACGUGCUACAAUGAUCAGCACAAAGAGUAUUACCUAUCUUCUUAUACCUAACCCAAUAUGUUAAACUUAUUGCGUAAGGGUAUUGUCUUAACGACUUAUCCGCUUUAGCGCUUUAAGAUUAUUGGACGGUUAUGCCUGCCUCGAGAGAGUGUACAGGGCAGCAAGAGUAAUGAUUCCCUCGUUUUUACUACUAAUACCGCGCUUGGUAACAUAUUACACUCGAUUAAGUAGGGUCUUUGCUUCUAAUAGCAAUUGCUAUCCUCACCCUUAGGCUCUAAGGAUAUUACUAUCUGUAAGGUCUACAGGGAGGUGUAUAUGGCGUACUUACUUAUUCACGGUGGGGACAGACCAUUGUUAACUGUUGGUCUCGGUCUCAACUAGGAAUGCCUCGUACGGGUUGGUUCACCAAACCACCCGGAAUAUGUCCCUGCCCUUUGUACACACCGCCCGUCGCUCUUAUCGAUGAACUCACUUGUGAGGCUGAGGGACUGCGUCUAUUUAUACCCGUGAAAUCCUAAUAUCUCACAUACAUUUCGCUAAAGGCGAUUUUGCUUUAAGGAUUUACACGACCUUACGCACAAACUUAUUCGACCAAGUGGGUUUAAAGGAAAGAGAAG